UUUUGGACAAUGGGGGCAACCCUGAUCCAGCAAUGCCGCGUGAGUGAAGAAGGCCUUCGGGUUGUAAAGCUCUUUUGUCAGGGAAGAAACACCGGCUCUAACACAGUCCGGGAAUGACGGUACCUGAAGAAUAAGCACCGGCUAACUACGUGCCAGCAGCCGCGGUAGUACGUAGGGUGCAAGCGUUAAUCGGAAUUACUGGGCGUAAAGCGUGCGCAGGCGGUUAUACAAGACAGGCGUGAAAUCCCCGGGCUUAACCUGGGAAUGGCGCCUGUGACUGUAUAGCUAGAGUGUGUCAGAGGGGGGUAGAAUUCCACGUGUAGCAGUGAAAUGCGUAGAUAUGUGGAGGAAUACCAAUGGCGAAGGCAGCCCCCUGGGAUAACACUGACGCUCAUGCACGAA
rnacentral:rRNA from 1 species